CAGUCCAGGUGGUUGAGAUGCGUUUCUUUUUGAAAAUGGUCGUAUCACAGCCUGCUUGGAUUAUG
rnacentral:pre_miRNA from 1 species